UACGUAGGGGGCAAGCGUUGUCCGGAAUCAUUGGGCGUAAAGCGCGUGUAGGCGGCUUGAUAGGUCUGCUGUGAAAACUCGGGGCUCAACCCCGAGAGGUCGGUGGAAACCAUCUGGCUAGAGUCCGGAAGAGGAGAGUGGAAUUCCCGGUGUAGCGGUGAAAUGCGCAGAUAUCGGGAAGAACACCCGUGGCGAAGGCGGCUCUCUGGGACGGUACUGACGCUGAGGUGCGAAAGCGUGGGGAGCAAACAGG
rnacentral:rRNA from 1 species